rnacentral:ncRNA from 2 species
GAUAUUUCAAAGGGGUGCCUUACUGUCAGGCUGAGAUUAUACCCAUUGAACCGGAGACGGGUAAUGCCGAGACCGGGACGAAGCGUAAUCAACAA